GUCUGUUGAAUGAAUAAAUGAUGAGAGAAAGAAAUGAAAAGCUACUGAGAGGAAUGCAUGGACAUUAAUUUCAUUCAGUUCUAAAGCUCUUCUUUCUUGGCUUCUUUACCUGGUUCUCUGAAGAUAUCUGAAGUGAUUGCCUUUGGAUACCACAAUAGUAGGCAACUAAAUUUCUCACUCUGUGAUAUGGAAUUGCUUUGAAGGUCCACAGGAGAAGCUGCUAUUUGCCCAUGAAUCCUCCCUCACUCCAUAUGCGAAGGGGCAUCAUGGAGACUAAUGCCCUGUAC